rnacentral:lncRNA from 1 species
CGAGAGGUACCCUUCGCGCACGUUCGACGCCUGCCGAGAACCCCGUCGGUUAUCCGAACGUGCCGCUAUAGCUUCAUGAAAGGAGCAUGGAAAAUUCCAUCAUUAUCAGCAGUGGACCAAGGUAGCGAACGUUCAUGUGCAUGUGGCGUCGCCGACUAAGCCGGAGAAGAGGGAGGAGUGCAGUCUAUUGACCUCCUUGCAGGAUUACAACGAGGGAAGAUGUCACAUCGGGAAGCACCACGAGAACAGAUCAGCGACCGGAUGAAACCCUUGCAGUUUGGAGAUCCAUGAUCUCGGUUAACACGUGGACAAGGGAGAGGAGAGAAGAUUGGGUGCAGAAUGUACCCCUAUGGAUGUUCGUGUCGUGCGAGAGAGAGAGAGAGUAUAGAUAGACUAUUACGACUUCGAUAAGAGAAGAAAGGGGGUUGGUGGGGCAAACAUCCCAGCCCACCAUGUGAAGAGGUGGCGCCACCACAGGAGGAGACGACCAGCAUAGGUGGCAUGCCACGUCAUCAGCGCCAACCUAGGAUCUUAGAUCCGAAUUAAGUUAAUUUUCUUUUAUUGUGGAACCUAUAAAUAGAGUCAGCGGUGUAAUCGACUCUUUUGGUGAAUUUUGAAAUUUAAAACGUUAUUUUCAGAGUUUACCCUAGCUUUCCUCUCAGCCGCCGCCGCCGCUGAGAGGCGACCUUCAUUCCGCCCGUCCUCCUGACGAGUGCCCGUCGCCUGGUUUCCGCGAACUCCCCCCCUCGUCCGUGGACGUUAUCUGCCACCGCGGACGUCUCCUCCGGCCGCGGACGUAUCCUGCCGCCGUGGACGUGUCCUGCCGCCGCGGACGCGUCCUACCGCCGUGGACGUCUCCUGCCGCCGCGGACGUCUUCUGCCGCCGCGGACGUCUAUUGCUGAUCGCGGACGUCGCCUUCCGGCCAUCGACCCGCCCGCGACGUCACCUGCCGCCGCGGACUCGUCUGCCGCCCGCGGACGUUGCCUACCAGCCGCAGGCCUCGCCUGCUGCCCGUGGACGUCUUCUGCUGCCGCGGACGUUUACUGCCGAUCGCGAACGUCGCCUUCCGGCCGUAAACCCGCCCGCGACGUCAUCUACGCCCGCGGACUCGUCUGCCGCCCGCGGA